CUGAACACUUGGAGGUGUCUGGAGGGUGGCGCACCUAGAGAGGGCUUGUAAGUUCUGGGUCCCUUCCCACAUGUCUUGUCCUAUGGAUCUUUUCCCUCUACGUAUCCUUUGUAACAUCCCUUGUAAUACAUCAGUAAACAUAAGUGAAGUCUUUCCCUAAAUUUUGUGAGGCACUCUAGCAAAGUAAUUGAACCCAAGAAGUGGUUUCUGGGAACGCAAAGGUUAUGGAUGGCUUGUGAUUGGCAUCUGAAGUAGGGACAGUUUUGUGGAACCAAAACCUUCACCUGUGGAAUCUGACACAGUCUCCAGAUGGGUCAGCCCCCAGAAUCACAGCAGAUUCAGAGAGACUCCAGUGCAGCGACAUGGUGGAAGAAGAUUUAUGGACAGCAAAAGGAAA
rnacentral:lncRNA from 10 species